rnacentral:tRNA from 1 species
GGAUGUAGCUCAAUCGGUAGAGCGUCUGAUUGUGGUUCAGAAUGUUGCGGGUUCGAGUCCCGUCUUC